AGGGAUGUGAAGCACCGCCAAGUCCUUUGAGUUUCGAGCUGUGGCUUGUAGUACUCUGGCGAAUAUUUGUGUUAGUGAAUAAUUUGUAUUUAGGGCUAA
rnacentral:rRNA from 1 species